AACUUAUCCAGAAAGACUGAGGGAAUAGGCCCGAUGAUGUCUUAGCAACCUGUUGCCAAAUAAGGUGCUAAAUCCUUCCCGCUUUGCGGGACAGAUAAGAA
rfam:Flavobacterium hercynium strain DSM 18292 43415_contig_37, whole genome shotgun sequence.